GCCGGGUGUGGUGGCUCAUACCUGUAAUCCCAGCACUUUGGGAGGCUGAGGCAGGCGGAUCACCUGAGGUCAGGAGUUUAAGACCAGCCUGGCCAACAUGGUGAAACCCUGUCUCUA
rnacentral:SRP_RNA from 2 species